rnacentral:rRNA from 1 species
GCCAAUGCAUGCUUUUACAGUAUGGAAAUUGGUGAUUUAUAAUAACUUGGCAAAUCGCAAAGUGAAAACAGGCGAUAAAUCAUUCAAGUUUCUGACCUAUCAGCUUUCGACGGUAUGGUAUUGGCUUACCGUGGCAGUGACGGUUAACGGGGGAUUAGGGUUCGAUUCCGGAGAGGGAGCCUGAGAAACGGCUACCACAUCUAAGGAAGGCAGCAGGCGCGCAAAUUACCCAAUUCUAACAGUUUGAGAGAGGUAGUAACAAGAAAUAACAAUACAAGGCAAUUAAAAUGCUUUGUAAUUGGAAUGAUAGAAAUUUAAACCCUUUUUAAAGUAUCAAUUGGAGGGCAAGUCUGGUGCCAGCAGCCGCGGUAAUUCCAGCUCCAAUAGCGUAUAUUAAAAUUGUUGCAGUUAAAAAGCUCGUAGUUGAAGUUCUGCUAAAAGUAACCGGUCUGCUUUUAAUAAAAGUGGUAUCUUGGUGUGUAUUUAGCAAUGAUGUCCUUUGAAGUGUUUUUUACUUUAUUGUAAUAAAGCAUAUUCAGGACUUUUACUUUGAGAAAAUUAGAGUGUUUCUAGCAGGCCGACGCUUUGA